rnacentral:tRNA from 1 species
AUUUAAAUAGCUUAUAUAGAGUAUAAUAUUGAAGAUAUUAAGGAGAUAUUUUUAUCUUUAAAUA